UACGGGGGGGGCAAGCGUUGUUCGGAAUUACUGGGCGUAAAGGGCUCGUAGGCGGCCAACUAAGUCAGACGUGAAAUCCCUCGGCUUAACCGGGGAACUGCAUCUGAUACUGGAUGGCUUGAGUUCGGGAGAGGGAUGCGGAAUUCCAGGUGUAGCGGUGAAAUGCGUAGAUAUCUGGAGGAACACCGGUGGCGAAGGCAGCCCCCUGGGAUAACACUGACGCUCAUGCACGAAAGCGUGGGGAGCAAACAGG
rnacentral:rRNA from 1 species